UCUCUUGACCUCGUGGUCCGCCCACCUCAGCCACCUCAAGUGCUGGGAUUACGUGCAUGAGCCACCGGGCCCAGCCAUAACUUUGCUUCUUGUAAACCAUUUCCUGUAAUACAACUCUGUUGAAGGCAGUUGGCACCUCUAGGUAAACAAGAAAAGAAGAAAGAGAGAGGGUGGGUUUUAUUGGUCUUUGACAAUGGUUGUUGAUCUUGAUUGCCUUAUGGCUGCCCCCAGCUGCAGGAUUGUGAUAUGUUUCUCAUCUUCAGAGUUGUUUGCUAAAGCAUUAGUAGCAUUACUGAAAUGGUAGCUUUUGUAAAUGUUUAUAUGUUGAAUUGUUUUAUUGCCCAUAGCUUUGCACAGAAAUCUUAGCUGAACAAGGAAUGACCUCCCUCUUGGAAGUGUUGUUAACUCUCUUUUUAAUUAAAUAUGAAUAUAGUUACAAUAUUGUGGCUUUUUUUUUUUUUUGCUUUUCCUUGAAUAUUUCAGGGAAUACUAUCUGGGACAAAGCCAUGCUGAAUUAUACUGUUUGUUUGAUUACUAUUGCUCUUUGCCCUUAGAGAGCCCCUGAGGCUUGGGCUGAGGGGACCUCGAUGACACACCCUUUGCCAUACUUAACUCUCAGUCCCAUUAGACUUGCUUUGCCACAGGAACCCAACUGCUUUAAUGCAUUUGAGCUGCUGCCGGGUCCUAAUGAUGUUUAAAAGAACCUGUCUUGGUAUUCUAAAAUGAACUCUGGAGCAUUGCCUAUUGAUGUAAGUAUUGAUUUUAUAUAAGGCAGUUACAACAAAGUUCUUACACCGGCUCUGGGGCUUUUUAUACCUCGGGAUGUGCAUCCUCACACUAGUGCUCACAAAGACACACACAGGAGCAGAAACCAAAAUAGCUCACAAAUGUGGGCAAGUCCUGUGUGGGCCCACCUGAUAUCUCUAAAGAGGCCUGAUGAGCUGUGCCAUGUGGCCUUCUGGAACACUGUACCUGCAUUCAUUGAUCACAGCUCUGCAGAAGCUGUCACUUCUCCUGUGUACCUGCCUGCAGUGACGCUGAUGUAGCAGGUCAUUCUGUAAUCACUGCUUGCACCUGGGUUUACUCAGGAAGUGCUUGUGUCAUACAUCUUGAAAUCAUGUAGUGCAAACCUAGACAGGUACUAAUUGCUGGUAAUGGUUCUGAGAGGCUGAGAUUGGCUAAAAUUAGAUGGAGAAGCAAUUAGCUACAUUUUCUGAGUAGGAAACAUACAGAAUGUUUCUCAAAGGGUGAUCUUUGGACCUCUAUAUUACAGCAACUGUGAAUCUUUUGUUAAAAUGCAGAUUCCCUGGUAAUCACCGUGGCAUAGUCCCUUGGGUGACUCCAGUACAAGUGCUGCAAGAGCCAUAUUUUAAAAUAAAUAGAACUGUACUUACAUUUUAUUUUCAAUUAAAAUUGCAAUAUUGUUAACAAAACAAGAAUAAUCUUAAAAUUGUGAGAAUACAUCUUGUGGAAAUUAAUUUUAGCAAUAAUUGGAUUAUAUUUUUGUUCUGUACAUUUACUAAUUGAGUUCUAUUCCAAAAUGUAUUGGCAAGAAAGAAGUGUUUCUACCAGAUGAUAUAGAUAUUAUAUUACAAAAAUGUGUUUUCAAAAUAGCUUCUUUUUUGUAGUUGUUUACUAGAAUGGACCUGAUAGAAUAAUUGUAUUCUAGUAUUCUCUCCUUAGGCCCACUGGUUCCCUCAAAUAAUAGCUGUUUAUAAAGAUACUAACCGGAGUUUUUUAUUUUUCAUUUUUUUUAGGUUCUAAUUUAUUCCCUUCUGUUGACAAUGAUGAUGAGCUCUUAAGGUUUAUACAUUUUUUGAACCCUUCAAAUUACAAAAAUUUGUGAUAUUUGGUAUGGGGGGUCAGGUGUGAAAGAAAUCUGAAAAUAUUGCCCAUAUCAGUGGAGACUAAAGGCCAUUUUGUAUUUUCUUCAUUACCAGGAAAGCUUAAGUUUAAUAAAAAUAUUAUAAUUGAAUUUAUGGUUUUGAUUUCACAAAUUCAAAAAGAAAUAUUUUUCUUUCUAAAGCCAAUCUGAAUAAAAAUUCUCGGAAGAAUUUCUGUUUAGCAGAACCUAUUCUUAGGAUUUAACAGUUGCCUGAGGUAUGUCAACAGAAGGUAGCAUUUCUUUUUUUAUAUACUGCUAUGAGGCCAAAAAUGCUCUUUCCCUGGAGAUUAGUGCAAAAUGAUCUACUGAACAGUUGCAAAUGAAACUAUCAUAUCAUACAUCAUAUGAGAAAGAUUAUUAAUAAUGACUUUUGAUUU